UCAUUCUGAAGCUGUUUUGGUGUCUUUCCUGCCAUCUAGUGACACAGAUGGCAGGGAAGACUCCAAAACAGCUUCAGAAUGA
rnacentral:miRNA from 1 species